GACAGAGGGUGCAAACGUUGUUCGGAAUUACUGGGCGUAAAGCGCAUGUAGGCGGCCAAGCAGGUCGGAUGUGAAAUCCCUCGGCUCACCAAGGAAGUGCAUUCGAAACCGCAUGGCUGGAGUCCCGGAGAGGAUGGUGGAAUUCUCGGUGUAGAGGUGAAAUUCGUAGAUAUCGGGAGGAACACCUGUGGCGAAGGCGGCUUCUGGGCCGUUACCUGACGCUGGAGACGCGAAGCGUGGGGAGCGAAACCGGAU
rnacentral:rRNA from 1 species